ACAGAUUGAACGGAAUUUGCACAGGAAUGUGUUUAUUAUUUAUUGGAAAUUUAACCCAAUUUUUUAGUGCAAUUUUUUUUCCAAUAAUUAUGGCUAAUGUGACUGUAGAAGUCGAAUACUGCAAUAAGUGUGGCUACUUUAUUAAGUUCGAAGAACUUAAGACACAUUUAACCGAAAAGCAUCCCUCAGUGGAAAUAGUAGGACGAGAAGGGCGAAGAGGAUCGUUCGAGGUGAAGAUCAACGAUUAUUUGGUUCAUUCAAAAUUGCAAACUCUCGCAUAUCCUGAUUAUUCCGACUUAUGGAAUCUUAUAAAUGAUGCGCAACAAGGGAAAGAAGUGAAGGGGCCGUGUAAACAGCAACCAAUUACAUCAUGCGCCAUUUCAUAAAGGUACAAAUCAUUAUGUUUUCGUUGAGAAAAUAUGUCCUUUGUAACUACGCAACUAGUGUUGUAAUUACAAGUUAGUUUGUAGUUAUUAGUACAGCAGUGCAAAAGACAACUGUUUAAAGCAAGAAAAUAAAAAAGCGACAUGCCGAGAUGGGAAAUUAUGAUUUAAUUCACUUAUAAUAUUUUCAUAACAAUUGGAAACUAUCUGGUCGAUAAUGGACCCAAAAUAUUACAAUGGUUUUGAUAAUUUUAUAUCACAUUUUGUUUAAACUUUGGAAGAGUACUCAAACUUCUGAAACCCUGCCAAGCCCAUUCUGCAAAUGUGAAAAAUGGAUUUCUCGGAAAAAUAAAAUCCAACAAAUUAUUUGUAAGUGUUCUAUUGUAAAGUAUGAAAUAAAUAUCCUAAUGUUCUUCCAUAUGGAAGAAUUUUCAUAAUGCAUCCAGAUACAAAAAAACUAACAACUGAAUAACAAAAAUCUCGAUAACAAGAUGUUACGCACACAACUACCGACAAAAAGAUGUAAAAAUACACUUACAUAGUUUUUCGAAGAGACUUGAGAAAUGUACACCAGUCUCGAAUAUAUUAUAUAUUAUUUUCAAUACGUUUACAGUAGAAGUUCAUUCUGACACCAAAUUCGAAAAAAUUGCAGUCUCCAAAGAACACCUCUAAUUGAAUAUUGGAUAAACUGUUUGGGGGCACAAACAAAAUCUGAAAAUACUGCAAAAUAAAUUAAAUUUAUUCAAAUACCACGCAAAAAUGACAAAUACUGUUUUCCAAUAUCCAGUAAAAACAUGUUCUUACAUAAAUCAAAAAACAUUCAAACAGACGUUCGUUCUUCUAGAAUUAUUCUAGAAAAAGGAAUGUCGGAAAAUAUGUACAUCUUAUACUAGCAUAUCCUUUAACAGUCACCACCAUCAUACUUUUUCAUGGACAAUAUGAACGUGAGUUAUACAAAUAUUUUCACUAUAAUACAAAAUUCAUCCUAGAGUAGUACAUCCAGCACAAGUUGGCCAUUGCAAAAUACGGAAUCAUUUCGUAAUAAAUCUGUAAAAAUUGUUUUAACAUGGUUUUCUAUUGAGAAUAAUUAAGAUCAAAUAGUAAUUUGAAAGUACUCAAAUCAAAUGGAAAGAGUUCCAGAACCGAAUCAAAUCCAUUCAAAUUAAAUAAGUUUUGAAAGUUAAUCAAUAAUUAAAGUAAUUUGUUUAUAUUACAGCUCUAAUUAGAAAUGAACCAGAUACAACUUGAUAAUUAUUAAAUUAAUGAUAAUACAUAACAAGAAUAUGUAUUCUGUCAUAUUUUGCAUGGCGCUCCUUUUUCUGGGUUGACCAAUAAAGGCCCACUUUAGGCCCGAAUGAUGCUACUGAUCUUCAGAACAUAUAGUGUAGAAAAUUCUAUGAAUUCAAUGCAACCUUUUCUUUUAAAUAAAUGCAUUUUAUCAGUUUUGUUUAUGGAACUUACAGGAAAAUCAGAAACUAUUCUAAACUAAAAUUUUAUUCAAAAAUAUAAAGUUUCUAAAACACAGCUGUCAUUUAAAGUUCAUGAAAUUUUCUAAACUACUACUACCAUAUUGCGAAUUAAAGUUUACCUACUUUAAUUCGCAACAUAAUAAACAUGUACAACAAGCAGCUCACAACUGGUAUAUUCUCAAACAAACUAGUUGGGAGAUGGUUUUACCAACUAGAAUUAACUUCUAAAAAUCCAUUUACACAUUUUAAUAGAGGUACCUAUGGUGGGUGGUUCCUAACGGAACCAUUAUUUAAAAUUGCACUCCUUGUGCAAAAUACACAUCUAACCGCUUUGACUCUUGUUGUUCUAUUUCAAUUACCAAAAGACCAGUUAGUUUCAAAGGACCUAAUUUUAUCAAGCAAAUGACUAAUUGUAGGUUUAAAUUUAAGAAAUCUAAUAAUUUACAGCAGUUUUAAUCCUCAUAAAAUGUUUUUGGUUUUGCGAAAAAAAAAACGGGAAAAGUAAUUCUUUCAUAUGCCAAAUUGUAUCAAAUGUUUACAUAAGAUAACACUUUUGAUACUUUAAAACAUCAAAACGAUGUCAUCGUUUGUAAAGCGACUUGUAAGAUUUACAUUAAUUUUAAUGUUUCUGCUCUGACAUGGGAUAAAAAUUAAAAACGUGUAACUUUAUUUUGUCAACUUACUCUGAUUAACUGCUCGCUGUUCCCGAAAUAUAUGGCUCUCAAGUUAAAUAGACCACCCGGUAUUUACGCAUUUGCUUUAAUUAUCACUCAACGAUUACGUCGAUUGACUAAAUAAAAGUAGGUUUAUUGAAAACUUUAUUGUAGGGAUUGAACUGAAGAGAGAAUGAGAAGAAAUAACAAACAGUCAGUAGAGUGUUGAUAAAAACAUUUAUUGAAUUUUAAUGGUUGGACGGUGAUUGAUCAUUAUGCGUUUCUGUAAUGAUUCAGUUGAUCAAUAGAUACAAAAAGUAUGUGUAAAAAUGUUUAUAAUUUGUGCAACCUUUUUGGCAUUUAGUGAAUCUAAACUGAAAGCAACUGAAAAUGUAAAAUUUUUGAUAAUGUAUGGGGAAAGCUUGUAUUGUUUAGAUAACAAAUAGUAUUCCAAGCAGAGAAUCUCUCAAGCAAUAGAUAUUUGAUCAAACCAUAUUUAUUAUUCCCUAGUUAUCCAGGCAAAUUAUAUUCGAUUAUGCAUACGCAUGUGAUAAUAUUAUG
rnacentral:lncRNA from 1 species